rnacentral:rRNA from 1 species
AUUGAACGCUGGCGGCGUGCUUAACACAUGCAAGUCGAUCGGUAACAGGUGUAGCAAUACAUGCUGACCGGAGGCGGACGGGUGAGGAAUAUUUGGGAAUCUGCCCAUCAGCGGGGGACAACCCGGGGAAACCCGGGCUAAUACCGCAUACGCUCUACGGAGGAAAGCCGGGGACCGCCAGGCCUGGCACUGAUGGAUGAGCCCAAAUCGGAUUAGCUAGUUGGCGGGGUAACGGCCCACCAAGGCGACGAUCCGUAGCUGGUCUGAGAGGACGAUCAGCCACACCGGAACUGAGACACGGUCCGGACUCCUACGGGAGGCAGCAGUGGGGAAUAUUGGACAAUGGGGGAAACCCUGAUCCAGCGACGCCGCGUGGGUGAAGAAGGCCUGCGGGUUGUAAAGCCCUUUCGGUAGGGACGAAAGCUCUUGCUCUAACAAGGCAGGAGGUUGACUUAACCUACAUAAGAAGCACCGGCUAACUCUGUGCCAGCCGCCGCGGUAAAAC